AUACGGGGGGUGCAAGCGUUAAUCGGAAUUGCUGGGCGUAAAGCGCGCGUAGGCGGUUUGCUCAGUCGGAUGUGAAAGCCCAGGGCUCAACCUUGGAACUGCAUACGAUACUGGCAAACUAGAGUGUGAGAGAGGAUAGUGGAAUUUCCGGUGUAGCGGUGAAAUGCGUAGAUAUCGGAAGGAACAUCAGUGGCGAAGGCGACUGUCUGGCUCAACACUGACGCUGAGGUGCGAAAGCGUGGGUAGCAAACAGGAUUAGAAACCCUAGUAGUCC
rnacentral:rRNA from 1 species